rnacentral:misc_RNA from 1 species
GAAUAAUUGUCGUCAAUUCAAAAUGUUCGAAUGAAAUUUAAUGUGAGUUAUUUACUCGAUACUUCUAUCUGUCAACUAUAGCUGCCGACGGAUACUUUCGUUUAAAGACAACUUUGUUCAAUUAAAAGUUAGAAAAGAAAGGAAGAGGGUGUACAAUUUCGAAUCUCCUACCUUGUUUGAUUUGUGGAGUCGAUCAGGUGUGGUCGUAUUUUGCUGAUGCUGCGUCUGCGUUCUUUCCAUGACCUUCGUUACUGAUACCAGUGGAAUAUGCCGGUCGCGUGGCUGCUUGGCCUUGCUGAGGUUGCAUUUUGUGUAUCAUUUGCAUUGUUUUGGUUAUGUUUCGCUUGGUCUAUGUAUGAUUUAGUAAUGUAUUACACACAUGUACAUGUAUAUCUUCAGGAUGUAAUUUUCUAAUAGGACAGACAAUUUAAUAAAUUUUAUGUUUAUUAUUAGAAUAUCGAUCUCAUAUAUGUAUAUGUCGGAGAUGAAAGAACGCCGGAGCUCCUCCUUGGAUUCGCGGGAAUACCGCAACUCUGUAACUUGGAUUAAACAAAUGCCGCUCCGAU